UUCACAUACUGCGUGGUUGCGGUCGAGUCAGCUGGUAGACAAGUACCUAUGUCAUUUCUGGAGAGGGUUAAGGAAGACUUCAACAAAAGAUAUGGAGGAGGAAAGGCGGCCACUGCAGGUGCCAACAGCCUCAACCGAGAGUUUGGCUCAAAACUGAAAGAGCAUAUGCAGUACUGUGUGGAUCACCCCGACGAGAUGAAUAAGAUGGCUAAAGUGAAAGCUCAGGUGUCAGAAGUCAAAGGAGUUAUGAUGGAAAAUAUUGAAAAG
rnacentral:misc_RNA from 1 species